GCCUGGGUGGCUCAGUUGGUUGAGCAUCCGACUUCAGCUCAGGUCACGAUCUCGCGGUCCGUGAGUUCAAGCCCCGCCUCAGGCU
rnacentral:tRNA from 1 species